UUUCAGCCUUUGAAUGAGAGUUAAUACAUAUGAAAUUGAGAAUUCUAUACAAAUAAUUCUAGAAUCCAGUGAACUCCAUUCCAGCCUUUGAAUGCUGCCAUCAUCUAUAAUUUAUUCAGAUUUCAUUUCAGUGCAACAUAAAAGCAGUACAAUAUCAUGAAUACAUAUGUGUACAUUUUAUCCGAAUUAUAUAUUAUACUAUAUUAAACUAAUAUAUAAAGUCACAGACAUUUGGAUCUGAAAGUGGCCAUUAUCUCUCCCAGUCCACAUGGUAGUAACACUCCAGAUGCAUUUAUUUUGUCUUAUUCUCUCUCACAAAACAUUUAUGCUGAACAUACUUCAUGCAGUACAGUGAGAUCCUAGUUUGCACAUGACCCAUGGAACCAAGGUAUUGUUUAGCCCACUUCCAAGGAAUUGCUCUGAGAGUGCUUGAAACAGAGAAUCACUAGAUGGUAUUACACUAUGUGCAAGUUAAGUUUGGUUUCCCAUUAUACUAUGAAGGUGUGGCAUUAUAUUUUACAACUACAUAGAUCUUACCAAAUUUUAGAAUUUUCUAUGGAAAUUUAGAAAUUAAGGCGGGAAAAGUCUGAACUCUCUGUGGUGACCAUGAAUGAGUAAUUUUACUGAGCAAUUGAAAUAUGUAUUGUCUGGCAGGAAUGGGUGUGCAACCUCCGAGGAUCUAUUCUGGAAGUUAGAUGCCUUACAGUCUUUCAUUCGAGACCUUCAUUGGCCAGAUCAUGAUUUUGCCAAACACCUUGAACAAAGGUUAAAGUUGAUGGCAUGUGAUAUGAUUGAGUCCUGUAUCACAAGGACAGAUCAAGCCUUCCAACAGUGGCUGAAAAAGGGUACCGGCUUUGUCUCCACAGACUAUGUGCUCCCAUCUGAAAUGUGUGCCAUGGUCAAUGUUAUUCUUGAUGCCAAAAAUCAGUCUUUCAAACUGUGUGCAGUGGAUGGGGUAGAUGUGGUAAGGAAUUUUUUUAUAUGUUUCCUUGCUUUUGUCUGUAAUGAGUAUUGAUUUUUUUUACUUGUUUGUUGCAAACACAAAGCACUUAUUUUUCAUUGUAGUUAUCAUCCUGCAUAAUACACUUCUCAAGAUGA